CAAGCAGAAGGCUCAGGUAGUCCCAUCAAUGGGACUUGGCUUAGGGUUUAAAUGUGGAACAACCAGAAAAGUGCAUCACAUUUUUUUCCUUCUGUUAAUAGGCACUCCUGCUGUAAUAUAAAAAUAGUUAACUGAAGCAAGGUAUCACAGAACCUGAUGUGAUAAAGCACACUGACAGAAAAUAAAGAAUGGAAUAUGCGAUGAACACUGACCUAACAAAUAAAAAAAGAAAAAAAAAAAAAAAAAAGAGGGGAAAUAAUGAAUAGUGCAAAGCAGUGAGGGAGCGCUGAGAGCCAGGAAUGGGAAGCUGGUGACAGAUGAGGCUGAUAAGGCAGACGGCCUAAAGGAAUUCUUCGCCCCAGUAAUCACAGAAGCAGCAGAAGGUAAUGUCCCAGGAACUGGGAUUUGUUUUCCUCAGGGAAGGAAGUAAAAUGUCAAAAGGUUUUACUCUUGCAGUGGAGUGGAUAAUAAGGCAAUUAGUACUCUUAAAAGUCGUCAGAACACCCAGACUGCAAUGAUAAAUCACAUCCUGUGAUGGGAGCAGGAGUCUGUUGGAAAGCUUUUGUGGAGCCGUUGUGGUCACCUACCAUGGAUGGGAUUACUGAGGGCACAUGAGUGCUCUGUGAAGUUUGCACUGAAAACCAAGGAGGAGCACUGGAGUACGGCAGCUAUAGGUUUGAUUCCCAGUGAAUUUACCUGCCAAUAUCCUCUGAAUUCAUUGAAGUCUGCUGCCUUCAAGUCCUCUGCCUCCAGCUGUGUGCUUUCCUUCCUUCACUCAUUGAGGCACAGGAAUCCUUAAGUCUUUCAUGGACUCUGUCCUCCCCUCUACACUCAGCAGAGGUUCCCCUCUCUUGUUUGGAGCCAAUUCUGGAAAUGCUGCAUGACAAAAUGCCAGUGUCACAUGCACCAAGCAGGCUGUGCCUUGGUUUAUCAUUUUCUUCAAAACUGUUGGAGUAGUUAAAGACCCCAAAAUCAGUAAGCCAGGUUGUUUAAAUUCAUUCUGCUAGCUGCUCACAAAAGGGCAUCAUCUCUCUGAGUUUCUUUCUUAGGGGAGAGGAGAUGAGUGUAAUGGAUGUAAUUUUUACUGUAUUAUUUCCUGCUGCUAUUUAGGGAUUGGCAUUCUGUAAGAAUGAAUAUAUCUGUUUUUCCCUCGUCAGUUUGUAUUUCUCCAGUUUGCUGCUUCCCAUUGCUUUUUCCCAUGCAGAGCAUCCUAACAGGAGGGAGAGUAGUGCUUGUAGGCAUUCCACCUUCACUGCUGUGAGAUGUGAGAAUCCCCAGGAGAAGCACCUCUCCACAUGCACCCUGAAGGGAGCUCCCUUCACUCUUCCAAAAAAGUCAAACUACAUAAAUCAGGCAGUAAGAUUUUGCCCAACCAAGCAGCCAUAAUUUGACUAACAAGGUUACUUUAUUCCCUGUGUCUUUAAUAGGCAGCUCUUUUUCUCCAUGCAGACAGCUUAAAAUGUGGAACCAAGACCAUGCUGGAUCACUAAGUUCAGUCUGAUGAUUUAAUUUUGUCAUCUUCGUUAUGAAUUCAAGAAUCUGAAAAAGAAACAACAUAGCUACAUUAAAUAUCAAUAAAAUGGCGUGCAAUACAAAGAUUAACUUAUUC
ensembl:lncRNA